UCAUGGUGGUUGUGGUUCCUGCUGUGUUGACCGACAGAUCUGAGUCCUGCAGUGUUGAACUCACAGGACUAUAAACCUUCUGAGUUCACUGGAGGAUCAGCUGACGAUGCAAAGCCUCCUCUCUAUGGAAAUGAUUCCUCUGCUCUCAACAGACUGAAGGCAACGUGGGACAUGAAACCAGGAGGAAUACUGCUCUGUUUAACAAUAUAUAUAUGAUCUUAAUAGAAUAGUAGAAAAUAUUUGUAUGAGAUGAGCAGUGGGUGUUGUGCGGCCCACCCUGACCGUCCUCCCCCCCUCCAGAGAGGAGCUGCAGCAGGGCAGAGCCACACUGGUGUGUCUGGCCAGCGGGGCUUCCCCUCAGCCUGGAGUCUGGGCUGGAAGGUGGGGGGCAGCAGCAGCUCCUCAGGGGUGUCACACAGCCUGGAGGUCCUGGGGAGCGACGGCCACUACAGCUGGAGCAGCACCCUGAGCCUCUCUGCAGACCAGUGGAGGAAGGCGGGCUCAGUGAGCUGUGAGACCGGUCUGAAUGGACAGAGCCCUGUCACUCAAACCCUGGACCCUGGCCACUGCUCAGAGUAGAGCUUCAGCAACACUUCCUGUGUGGAAAUGAUGCUGCUUCUUUGAUAGAGCUCUUGAUGAAGCUACAGAUCUCCUCUGUUUCACAGCUCUCUACUCAGUGUUUCAGUGUGCAUGUUGCUUUCUAAUGCUGGUCGGCUGCUUAUUUUUCAUUACUUUUCAAAUUAAACUGAAUUAUAUAGUUUUCACUCCAACAUUAACUGAUUCAAAAGAAAAAUUCUACAUGAACAUUAACCUAUAAUUAAAACUGUGGAUUAUAA